GAUGAACGCUGGCGGCGUGCUUAACACAUGCAAGUCGAACGGAAAGGCCCAAGCUUGCUUGGGUACUCGAGUGGCGAACGGGUGAGUAACACGUGGGUGAUCUGCCCUGCACUUCGGGAUAAGCCUGGGAAACUGGGUCUAAUACCGGAUAGGACCACAUUUUGGAUGGUGUGGUGGAAAGUUUUUCGGUGUGGGAUGAGCUCGCGGCCUAUCAGCUUGUUGGUGGGGUAAUGGCCUACCAAGGCGUCGACGGGUAGCCGGCCUGAGAGGGUGUACGGCCACAUUGGGACUGAGAUACGGCCCAGACUCCUACGGGAGGCAGCAGUGGGGAAUAUUGCACAAUGGGCGCAAGCCUGAUGCAGCGACGCCGCGUGGGGGAUGACGGCCUUCGGGUUGUAAACUCCUUUCGCUAGGGACGAAGCGUUAUGUGACGGUACCGGGAGAAGAAGCACCGGCUAACUACGU
rnacentral:rRNA from 1 species